UUUUUUUCCAAACGUAAUUGUUAUUUAUCACGUCUAAUUUUAGACCCAUUCUUACACCUCUCAUGCAUAUCUAAUGUUCAAUCAAGGGCAGAACCUGCGUGUCAGUCCAUGCCAUGUAAGAAUGGAGGGACGUGCACCAAUAAAGACACCUCAUACACGUGCACGUGUGACAAUGGGUGGAGUGGACAAGACUGCACACAACCAGCGUGUCAGUCUAUGCCAUGCAAGAAUGGAGGCACGUGCAUCAAUACAGAUACCACAUACACGUGCACGUGUGACAAUGGAUGGACUGGACUGGACUGUA